UGCUUCGUUGUAAUUAAAAAAAAUAACGUGAUGAAAUGUAGGGAUAUAAAUACGGGUAUGGAAGAAGGGUUGAAGGAAGGGUUGUUGCAAGGAAGAGGUUUGGGAGAGAGGGAGUGAAGAGAGUGCUGGAAGCGGCGCCAUGGAAGGAAGGAAGAAACAUGUGGACACUGAAUCGCAACCUGAAAGAAACAAACAAAGGGGUUUUCAUUCGACAUUCCAUGAUGUUUCUAUUUAGUUUUCAAUCUGAAUAUUCUUACCCACUUUCCUUGCUGCUCGCCUUCUCUCGCUCCCUUUCUCCACGCGCCACCGCUUGUACCCUUCGGCCUCGUGAUGAUAAUCUGAAGUAUUUUGCAGAAAAAUAGUCUCAAAGGGUGGAGUUACUAUGAAAAAAAGGAAAAGAGAGGUGUUUUUUUUUUGAAACUGUGAUCCACCAUUGCAGUUUGUUUACCACAACAUCUGGUGUCAUUGUGAUCUUGAAUGGAAGAGAACUGGAAAAAUUAUUGUACAUCAAAUGGUAUUUGAGUCUUGUUGAUAUUAGCCACCUUCCUUGUCUUGAUUAUUUGGUGAACAUGGGGUAAAGAAUAGUAUUUAUUAUGCAAGAGGGAAAUUUGGUCAUCUUGGGAAACUGCUAUCACUAUUAUCUGUGAAAAAGUUUGUUAAGUAAAGAACAUUUUAUAUCAA